rnacentral:misc_RNA from 1 species
GAUGAAGAACGCAGCGAAAUGCGAUAAGUAGUGUGAAUUGCAGAAUUCAGUGAAUCAUCGAAUCUUUGAACGCACAUUGCGGCCAUAGGUAUUCCUUUGGCCAUGCCUGUUCGAGCGUCAUUUACACCCUCAAGCCUAGCUUGGUGUUGGGCGUCUGUCCCGCCGUUUUCGCGCGCGGACUCGCCUCAAAGUCAUUGGCGGCGGUCGUGCCGGCCCCCUCGCGCAGCACAUUUGCGCUUCUCGGAGGCCCGGCGGAUCCGCGCUCCAGCAAGACCUUUCACGACUUGACCUCGGAUCAGGUAGGGAUACCCGCUGAACUUAAGCAUAUCAUAAGCGGAGGA